UCAAUGUGGUGGUCGAGGACGACGGUUCCGGUCUCGGCUCCGAAGAGCAGGGUGGAUUGGCUCGUUCUUCCGGUUCCGGUUUGGGCACGCAGAUC
rnacentral:tRNA from 1 species